UAAGCCAGAUAGAGGGAUUGUUGGGCUACAAAGGUCUUUAGAUGUAUGUGCUAGUUUACUAUCUUAAGUAGUGAGAGAGUAUCUUACCUUCAGUCUUCUGUGAGGUGGCCUCUGCUUGGUUCCAGACUUUAAAAUAAAAGCUGUUCUUAAAUUAUUUUUCAUGAAAAGCAGAGAUUACUAAGCAUUCAGUAGAGCUAACCAGUUUAGUAAUUCAGUGAACAUGUCAGAAGUUUUAUUUUAUAUUUGUCUUACGAAAUACUGAAUUACCGUAUAACUUUAGAUGCUGUUUUGACAUUAACCCCUUUGGAGCUGGGAGUUGGGAUUUCCCAACAUUAACCGUGAACACAUUUCGCAGAAGCUUUUAGCAUCGGAUUGUCUGGACACCCACACCUAGUGUGGGGGUGACUAAGUGACCUUGUGGCAGAAGACCCAGCUCUGAGGGAUGGUGGACUUGGCAGACCCUGACGCACUGUAUGUGUGAGUGUAUAAUUCAAACUAAACUAACUGUGUAUUACAAUAGAGAAGGGCUUUUUGUUUUUUAAAUGUAGCUCUUUUAGAAAACGAUGAAAAGGAUGAAGAGGAUAUGUCUCUGGAUUCAGGGGAUGAAAUCUCACAUAUAGAAGUAUUCAGCAAUGUUCAUUCAGAAAUAUUGGCGAGAGAGACCAAAGGAUCAAGUGGAACAGAUCAAAAAAAGAAUAUUCAGAUUGAAUUGCAGUCAUCUCUUGAUGUGCAAACCAGUUUAUUAGAAGAUCAGACUUAUUUAAUUGAUUGUGACGAAAGAGCUCCUAUUGAUAGAGUACGCUCUGAAGGAGAGAACAGCAAUUCAGCAGAGCAAGAUGCGUAUAGCGACUUUCAGGCUUACCAAAAUCAAUUAAAAAUGUCCCAUCAGUUUAGUCAUUUUAAUGUUCUCACGCAUCAGACGUUUCUGGGGACACCAUAUGCCCUUUCAUCAACUCAGUCUCAAGAAAAUGAAAAUUACUUUUUAUCUGCUUAUAAAAACUUGGAUACAGAGAAAUCUCCACUAAGUUAAGGAUGUGUUCAAAGAGAAAUUACAGCAAUUAAAAAAAAAAGGCUGUUGUGGACUUUUUUCAAUUUCUUAAAAGUGAAUUGAUGAUUUAUAAACAAAUUUCUUGGCCUUUCUGAAAUUUUUUUUCUUUCCUGUUUAUUUAAAUCAUGGUGACCUAUAACAAACAUUUCAAGCAUCUGAAAAUUGAAAUAUAUAUUUUUGACAUAUUGUAAUCAAAUUAUCCCAUGUUAGCUUUGAGUUUUACGUAUGUUACCUGUGCUUGGGCUUCAAAUUGAAGUCUGUUUUAUAUGUAAAAUUUGAUGUUUAUAAAAGAAUGGUAAAUAGUAAUGACUUUCUUUAAUGUCAGAUGAUAACUAAUUUUGCUGAAAUGUCAACUAUUUAUUUUGAUUAAAGCUUUUGUAUAGUGUUUUUACACAGGUAUAAAAGCCAGCAGUGUAAAUAUUUAUAGGAUUUUGGCUCAGUACCUCAAGCUAUACCUAACAGUACAAUUGCAUUUUGGGUACAUAAUACCAAGUAACAUUUUCUCAAUCUUUAGGUUUAGCUAUGAAAAAAAUUGCUUCACUUAAAUUUUGGUCAACUUUUUGAGAUCUUCGAUAAAUACUAUUUUGUGUGAUCCUUUAGUUAAAUGAACUUUUAAAAAUAGGGCUUAUGGUUUUAAUUAGAACUAGGUGGUACUUUAGUGCUAUACUAAAUAAAUGUAUACAAAAAGUAUAUGGUGGAGAUACAUACAUUUCUUGUCUACUGUUACUAAUGCUAACUUCAGAAUUGUGAGAACUAGAAUCUCCACUUCAAUACGAUGAAAACCAAAUUCACAGAAGAGAAAAACCAGAAUGAAAUGAAUUUGUAUUAUUUUGGCAGUCUAUCUUUGUGUUAAUAGUACUUUUCAUGCCCUAAGAGAACUUCUAACAGAACAAACGAGCAACCUAGUUAGGUCUGAAGGAAUGCUGUGAAACAGGUCAGGAAUCUCCAGAUUCUACUGUGGUAAGUAGAAAGAAAAUGCUCUUACACCCUAAUACGACAAAGAUUUUUUUUUUUUAAACUAUAAACUUUUUUAUUGUAUUUAGAAAAUACAUCAUUUCACUACAUAAUGUGAAGUUUUUCAUUGGGUGCUUGAGAAAUGCAGUUGCAUGGUGAGCAUAUUUAAAACGAAGAACUAAAAUUAUCUUCUUGGUUUGCAGUUAAGGGUAUGAGAUUCGUUUCCAACUCCUUUUGUUUCUGGAGAAGACCCUGCAAUCACAUUGAUAUUUUAGUGAAGGUAUAUAACUAACUUAAAUAUUUUUCUCUUUCAUAUUCAUCUUAAUCCAUGAUACAAAAUAUUACUGAACUCAGGAUAGAACUGUUAUUAGACAUAGCUUGGUUUUUUGGUUUUUUGUUUUUGUUUUUUUCCUUUUUUCAGUAAUUCUUGCAAUGGACCUUCUUUCUCAUUUGGGUGUUGUCUAGCUUGAGUAUUUUCUACUAUGAAACAACAGGGAUAAUUUUUUUGUUGUUGUUUACCACAACUGAAUUUCUAAAAUGAAAUCUACUCUCAAGUGCUCUUAAGAUCAUGAGAAGACACAGUAAAAGUCUUAACAUUCCCGGUGUCUGUCUUGGCUCUGCUGAACAGCAUAAGGGUUGCGGGGAAGUGAAGCGUUAACACCACAUUCCUUCCUUUUGCUCCUGUGUAUGAGUUUACCCAGGCUGAGUCUUGAGCUCAAGUAAGCAGGGACACCAGUGGAUGGUGUCGGAGCAGGGUUGGCUUUCUAGCUUAGGAAGGCAAUAAAGGGUAAGCAACAAACAGCCACAUGUCCCCCAAGUACAGUGUAAUAGCCCCAGGAUAGGUUUAGCACAUCACUAAGUUUUAUUUUUGCCUGUGUAAAAAAGUAGUGAAAGCUUAUGCAAAAAUCAGAGGAAUGAGUCUAGGAGGAAAGUGGUGUAUAAUUUCAUUCUUUGAACAGAUCUCUUCUGUUCU
rnacentral:lncRNA from 1 species